rnacentral:pre_miRNA from 1 species
GUUCUACUUCCUCCGUUUCGAAUUACUUGUCACAAGUAUGGAUGUAUCUAGAUGUAUUUUAGUUCUAGAUACAUUGAUUUCUACGACGAGUAAUUUGGAACGGAGGGAGUAUUAG